CAUCACAUGCAAUACGAUCGUGGGUAAACGAACAGAGCCACAUAUAUGUCUUUCGCGGUCAGUAGUCGUCCAGCCGGCGUACAGAGCGCAUGUCUCGAUGCGCGAGUCGCGAUCUUUACACCGCGUUUUUAGCCCAAUAUUCGUGUUUGUUUUAGAGAUCUAAUAUAUUAAAAAUAUCAUUAAAUUUAAGUGAUUUCAUUAAAUUUUCACAUAAAUCAAUUAUUUAUUCAAUCCUCUCUCAGUUCCAUUCAAAAUUUCCACUAAAUUAUUUGUUUUAAGCCGUUUUUUAUGAAUUUUUUGUACCAGAUGGGCAUAUGAUUGUUUUGAAUUAUUAAGCAAGAUGUAAAAGACAUACCAAUACCAUCUUUUCAACGUACAUUUUGUGCCAAUUCAAUGGACCCGACGUGAGAGAGAAGAAUGAGUCUUUUUUUCUGAUACGCUACAAUGAGGCAUCCUUCAUAUUCUAAAGGGAUUCAUCAAACCUCUUUUGAGACUGAACUGUUUUAAUUAAUAACGACCGAAGAUGAUUAAGGGCUGUUAUGAAGGAUUAGAACUAUUUAUGAAAAGAGAUGAAAAUAAAUUAUGUAAUAUAUUUUUUAAAUAAAUAAUCAACUUUUUCGAGUGUUUUAUUUAUCAUAAAUAAUUCAUAACCAUUAUUUUCAUUUUUUUAUUAACAUCUUAUUGAUAUCGCAAAAUGCACAAAUUGACUUAAAAAAACAUCACUAAACAGACUAAACAAGGUAAUAGUUAUUCAUUUAAAGGAAUCCUAAAAAAUAUCUACUAAAAAAUCGCAAUGCCAACAUGUCUGAAGAUUGACAAUUAAAAAAAUAUAUUUUAAAACUUUUUUUCAAUAGUUUAUAAUGAUUUUUUUUUAAUUUUGAAGGCAAUUAAAAUAUUUUAUUUUAAUCCCUUAAAAUAUUUUCUAACCCGUUUGCAACAACGAGGGUUUAUAACGGGCUUUUUAAUUAUGUACUUGCCUUGUAUAUUUUCAUUCUUUUUAAACUUUUUUCACGGUCAGUAGGUUUUUUAUAUGAUCGGUUUCAUUUUUCAUUUUUCUCAAUUUUAAUUUAUUUAUUUUUUCCGAGAAGAAAAUGUUAAAAAUUAUCCAAAUUAAAUUAAAAUUUUUUCGGAGACAAAAAAAUGAAAAAGAAUUGUCCCGAAAAAAAAUUAAUGAUAAAUUUUAGGUAUUUUUAAAGAGAUUCUAUUUAUCGGUGGUUAUGAAACCGAAUUUUAGCAUCAAAUGGGUUAAGAUGGGAAAACUAAUUCAUUAUGCCGUCUUGACAACGUCUCGGACUAGGUGAAAAUGUCUUGAUCUACGUUUCGAAAAAAAUGCUGCCAAUUCAACCGCUUUAUUAUUUGCAAAAAAUCUACUGAACAGAUUUUAAUAAAAGUUCAUGAAAAGUAUUUUAAAUUGAAAAAAAAAAUAGAAAAUGAAUUUAUUCAAAAUUAGAUUCGUUUAACUAUUAAAAAAAUAUAUUCUUGACUUGGGAAAGAGUAUUAUUAAUUUGUUUAAAAUAAUUUAAAAAUGUGAGAUAAGAUUUUUUACAAGAAAAUUUUAAUUCCUUAUACUGAUUGUAUGUAUUUUGUAAAUAUUCCAAUAAAUUUUCAAUUAUUCUCUUGUUUUAUUUUGUGAGCGAAAUGGAGUGAAAUAUUUAACAUAGUCGCCAAAACAAUAAAGAUAAUAAAUAUGUAAGUAAAUUUGAAGGAA